CAGCUAGUGUUUUGUGGUGUUAUUUUAGAAAUAUUUGCAAGGAGAAGCAAAUGUUGCCCAGAGUGUUUCAUUCAUAACUCCAGGUCAUUGUAGAAGAGGAUGUUUGAAUGAACACUGACUCCAUCUUCCCCGCUUUCAUCUUUGUACACAAUCUGCUUUCUUAUCAAACCUGGAUUAUUAUCUUUUUAUUGGAAUCAGAGAAUUCUUUACAAUCUCACAAACAACUGCAAUUAGAAGCAAAUAGCCCAAUUUCCAAUUACCUUAUCACUUUCCAUGUCACUGUCAAAAGAUAAGGUAUAUGAUGUUUAUAUGGGUAGGGUUAAGUAAGAGCAAUAGCUGUGUUCUGCCCUAUCAAUCCUUGCAUCAGGUGAGACAGCAGUGUGACUACCAACAGCCUGACUUGCAGGUUUAUCAGCAGUAAAAUUUAAUGUAAUCAGAAUCAUUUUCCUAUGACACGUCCAUGAGAGAAAAAAACAAAAAAAGACAAAUUAACUUUAAACCUCAUUCUCUCUGUUUGUCUGCUCAUUACCAAAAUGCUCUCAUUGUUGACCAGCUACAACACAACAUCACAUUCUGAUCAUCACAUGUGUCAUUGUCAUUCACUUUCUAAUAGUUCUUAGAUAUACUGUUUAAAAAGCGCAUUUAGAGACAAGUGCUGCAAAUUUGCUCACACCAUAAGCACUAGGACACAAGCUGCUGCUGUUUUGUUCAGUUUGUCUAUGUCAAUGUGUGUCUGUCCCUAUCAAAUAAACCUAA